rnacentral:rRNA from 1 species
GACGAACGCUGGCGGCGUGCUUAACACAUGCAAGUCGAACGGAAAGGCCCUGCUUGCAGGGUACUCGAGUGGCGAACGGGUGAGUAACACGUGGGUGAUCUGCCCUGCACUUCGGGAUAAGCUUGGGAAACUGGGUCUAAUACCGGAUAGGAGCCAUCUUUAGUGUGGUGGUUGGAAAGUUUUUUCGGUGUAGGAUGAGCUCGCGGCCUAUCAGCUUGUUGGUGGGGUAAUGGCCUACCAAGGCGGCGGCGGGUAGCCGGCCUGAGAGGGUGUACGGCCACAUUGGGACUGAGAGACGGCCCAGACGCCUACGGGAGGCAGCAGUGGGGAAUAUUGCACAAUGGGCGCAAGCCUGAUGCAGCGACGCCGCGGGGGGGAGGAAGGCCUUCGGGUUGUAAACUCCUUUCGCUAGGGACGAAGCUUUUUGUGACGGUACCUAGAUAAGAAGCACCGGCUAACUACGUG